CCCUUAGAUGUUCUGGGCCGCACGCGCGCUACACUGACUACUUCAACGAGUUGUUUCCUUGAUCGAAAGGUCUGGGUAAUCUUUGAAAGGUAGUCGUGAUGGGGAUAGAUCCUUGCAAUUUUUGAUCUUCAACGAGGAAUUCCUAGUAAACGCAAGUCAUCAGCUUGCAUUGAUUACGUCCCUGCCCUUUGUACACACCGCUCGUCGCACCUACCGAUUGAAUGGUCCGGUGAAUCUUUAGGACUGUGGCUGAGGCCUUGCCUUGUGCGGGUCUGGCCGUGGGAAUUUAGUUAAACCUUACCAUUUAGAGGAAGGUGAAGUCGUAACA
rnacentral:rRNA from 1 species